GGAAUAACGUCGAGAAAUCGGCGCUAAUACCUCAUAAUGCAGCGGAUCCGCAUGGAUAUGUUGUUAAAGGUUAUCGCCUUGGGAUAGGCUUGCGUCUGAUUAGCUAGUUGGUGUGGUAACCGGCACACCAAGGCUACGAUCAGUAACUGGUCUGAGAGGAUGAUCAGUCACACUGGAACUGAGACACGGUCCAGACUCCUACGGGAGGCAGCAGUGAGGAAUAUUGGGCAAUGCUCGAAAGAGUGACCCAGCAACGCCGCGUGGAGGAUGAAGGUAUUCUAUAUCGUAAACUCCUGUGAGAGCAGACGAAAGACAGAUUAUUAAUCUGGAUGACUGUAUGCUCAGAGGAAGCCCCGGCUAACUACGUG
rnacentral:rRNA from 1 species